UUCUUUGAAUUUUCUUUGACUGUGAAUGG
rnacentral:piRNA from 1 species